rnacentral:rRNA from 1 species
UUGCAGUUAAAAAGCUCGUAGUUGGAUGUUCGGUUGAGAGCGGCCGGUCCGCCGUUUGGUGUGCACUGGCUGGUUUCAGCUUCCUGCAGAGGACGCGCUCUGGGCUUAAUCGUCUGGACGUGGAGUCUGCGUGGUUACUUUGAAAAAAUUAGAGUGUUCAAAGCGGGCUUACGCUUGAAUAUUUCAGCAUGGAAUAACACUAUAGGACUCCUGUCCUAUUUCGUUGGUCUCGGGACGGGAGUAAUGAUUAAGAGGAACAGUUGGGGGCAUUCGUAUUUCAAUGUCAGAGGUGAAAUUCUUGGAUUUUUGAAAGACGAACUUCUGCGAAAGCAUUUGCCAAGGAUGUUUUCAUUAAUCAAGAACGAAAGUUGGGGGCUCGAAGAUGAUUAGAUACCAUCCUAGUCUCAACCAUAAACGAUGCCGACUAGGGAUUGGCGGAUGUUAAUUGAUGACUCCGCCAGCACCUUAUGAGAAAUCAAAGUUUUUGGGUUCCGGGGGGAGUAUGGUCGCAAGGCUGAAACUUAAAGGAAUUGACGGAAGGGCACCACCAGGCGUGGAGCCUGCGGCUUAAUUUGACUCAACACGGGGAAAACUUACCAGGUCCAGACAUAGUUAAGGAUUGACAGA